CCAAAGGCCACCUAGUGCAAAUGCCCUGCAAUGAACAGGGACACCUACAGCAGAUCAGGGUGCUCAGAGCCCCCUGCAGCCUGACCUUGCAUGUCUGUGUCGAUGGGCACCCACCACCUCUCUGGGCAACCUGUUCUAGUGCUUCACUGCCCUUAUUGUAAAUAACUGCUUCCUUAUGUCCACUCUAAAUCUCCCCUCUUUUAGUUUGAAACCAUUUACCCUUGUCUUGUCACAACAGACCCUACUAAAGAGUCCUGCUCUGGGUUUGUUCCCCUUUGCCUUGCUCCCAGCCUGGCUGUCACAAGCAUCCUUCUGUUGGCUGUCCGUAAGGCCUUCCAAAAUUCCUCAGCUCAUCUCUUUGUGUCAAGGCCAAAUGGUGCCAACAAAUUGCCUGCUGCUCCUGCAUCCCUCCCUGUGCUCCUGCAAUGCAUGAGGUCCAGUCCUGGAAUGCGUGGAGAGUUGUAGGGAGGAAAUAAAGCUGGUUCGUUGGUAGCCAGCUUCUGGAGUCAAACAAUCCACCACUGUUUUGUAUCAUGCUACCAGGAGAAUUAUCUUUAGCUAUGAAACAAGAGCCCUGAGCAACUGUAGCUGGGCAAGCCCUGAAGUGAUCUGGUUUGCUGGUAAAUCUGUCCUGAGCUGCUUCCUCAGCACAACUGCUGCUUGCUUUCUUCCCCAUCAGAGGCACAUGAAGAAACUCCCGUUCCUUCUGUGGUCCUUGGCUAUGCCAUAGUUACAUGUGCUGCUUUUACAUCUUCACUGCAACAUCUGCUUCCCAGAAUUGGUAAGACCUAAAUUUUACAACAAGGCUCCCUGGACUGACACAGCAAUGCUGAAUGCUACUCUGGUAUGAUGGGGUAAUUAAUCAGUUGCUGGAAACCUUCAACAUGCACUGAACAUCACCCUAGAAAUGAAACAAAGGGGAAAGUUUUGAUAAGCAGAGAUGAAGGUGCGGAAAGAGGACAGGGCAAGAGGAAGAACGUUGCACGAGGAAGAACCUGGCAGAGGCCAAUCAGUCAAAAAAAAAAGGAAAAACUGUGGCAAGGAAGUAUAUCUAAGGAAGCAAAGAAGGAAAAGAUGCAACUGCUCACCUGGCUGCCACAUCAUUUUCUUUGUCCCACGUGUACCAAUACCAAGAAAACAGGAACAAAAAAUUGAGGCUGAAGGACUGGACAAUCUGUGUCAGUCAUUUAAAUGAAAAAAUAAAGUUCAUUUCCAGUUUGCAAACUUGCAUUACUUACCACAGGCUUUGCUGAGAUGUGGGACCAAACAAUUAAAUUAUUAAAAUAUUGCUUGACAAAGUAGAAAUGUUCUGUCACUAUUGUUUUUCAGUAAGUGCGUUUUCCAAGGCAGCGAACAACUCAGUUUAGAAUAUAAAAAAAAUAUUAAAAUGUAUUCUAUGUCUGUCUAAUAAUAGUAAUCUAUCUGAGGACCAAACAAAAUAAGUAACACCAUCUACUUCCCACUGAGUAAGAACCUGCAAUACAAGAGUAAGAACUUGCACAUUGUUCAAAAAAGAAAAACCUAAGAAGGACCAAAUCACUUAAUCACCCCAUGGCUUCUGAUUUCAGUUCUAUGGCGUAUCGAUGGGGAAGCACACAGCUCUUUCCUGUGUGUCUGUCGACUUGUUUCCAUGAGUGACUGCCAGACACAAAGCCAAGUUUCUUUACAGUAGAACAAUCCACGGUAGGACUGGAGAGCAGUAUCUCUCUUUAGUAUAGGCCCAGAGAGGUUGUGGAUGCCCUGUCCCUCGAG
ensembl:lncRNA